rnacentral:rRNA from 1 species
AGACUAUACUGUGAAUCAUCGAAUCUUUGAACGCAACACGCACUUUCUAUGCACUAGUGGUAUAGGGAGUAUAUUUGUUUGAGUGUCACAUUUGAUAACAAUCGAUUACAAGUACUCCUUGUUAUAUCGGCAUUUGACAGUUUAGUGAUAAUCUAAUCUGUUUAAAUACAAUGUGCUGUUGCUUACUAGUAUCCAGUCAGUAACCGAGGAAUUUAGUUAAUGUGUAAAUAUAUAUUGCUAAACCUCAAAUUCUUUGAUUGGGUAUUAUCAGACAGUGCUCAUUCUUAUAUUUAGACCCUUAAUAAGGUCAAUAAAAAGAAUUUUUCAUGACAUCAAAUCAAGUAAGGUUACCCGCUGAAUUUAAGCAUAUCAAUAAGCGGAGG